GUACUCGUUUCUUUAUGGAAUGUAAAGGCUGUGGAGAGAUGUUUUUGUGGGUCUUGGGUAGGACACAGCCUGCCAACCCUUUGUGCUCCUCCAUCUUCUGUGGCAUGUAGAAGGGAUGGUAUCGAUCAAGGUUUUCCACACAGGAUAUCCCUCAGGGCUCCUUGCAAAAGUGUGCAGCAGGGUGUUAAGAAGCUCCACCGGGAGUGAAAACAGAAACACAAGUCCCACAAGUUCACCCUUGAGAGAAGUUCACAUUCCCAAAUGUCCAGUGUGAUUUGAAGGAUUUCCUCCCACAACUUCUUAUCAGACUAAAGGAUAAGGCUGCUGCUUAAGAUUAGUGACUUAAGAGCUCCUGGCAUCUGAAUAUCAGACGCCGAAAGCUCUUCAAACAGGAUACGGAGGUAGAUGGCAAAGGAGAUUUGAAGUGAUAGCCCAUUUUAGAGAAGAGAAAGGCCCUAAUUGUCUCUGCUCCCCACAGCUCCCUCCCUGCAACAGCCUCGCAUGCCACUGGAGAAAGAAAAGGAGAAGAAAGCGGCUGAGAGAGAUAGAGAGUGAGAGAAAAAAAAAACGAGCAAGAGAGAGAGAGAGAGCUGGAGAGGACAGUUUCGCUGUGCAGCUGCUCCCGUGGAUGUUUUUGGAUUACAUCAGUGCUGUGCCAAAGAAAGGAGCGAAGGACAGAUAGACAAGGGAUCAGAGGGAGAAGGGAGCGGGGCACACUCCACAAAUCAGGGCUCUUAGUUUGGGAGGGGGCCCCGGCUCGGUUCUUGGAGUUCUCUCGGACAGAGCUGUCAUUGUUAGCAGGUUGAAGUGGGUAAAGCCAGGACUGAAUAGUGCAGAAGGCCCCCCUCAUCACCACUGCUCCCCCCUCUACAUCCUGACAACACAGCAACAGCAACUCAACCUUGCCCUGUCAGCUGCCUGCGCCUGAGCCCCACGCCUCGGCCCCGCGUCUGAGCUUGGCAUACAGCUGAGAUUACAUUGCUCCGGGCACACACUCCUGCUUCGUCUUUGGAAUUAAUACUUACACAUCUCUGUUUGGCCAGCAGGCACAGGGCAUUGAGACUGUCAAACAGAACGAGAGAAAAGCUGGGCCCAAGAAAUUUACAGAGGAGUGUAAAAGGGAUUUUGUCGCUUUUAAACACCAUUAGGUUUUACUUUGUAGUGUAGUUUCAAAAUGUUUUCUGGUGUUCUGGUGGUGGUUUUGGUUAUAUUACUGCUAUUUCGCAGGGUUUUAUGGAAUGUCAUCUGCCUUUUCAUUGGUGAUAAACUGCUCAGGAAAAAGCCAAGAGCCAGGAGACAGAGGGAACUGUCAGAAUAGAAGUCACUAUAAGAACAGUUUUGGUUGAUUUUUGUUUUUUGUUUUUUGUUUUUUUCUUUUAUUAUUGUUGAAUAUCAAUUGGGUCAAAUUUGAACUAAAAUUUAAUUACUACAUUCACAAUCAGAGGAAAUUGUCAUAAUAGAAGUCGCUAUGAGUAAAAAUUAAUUUUUUUAGUUUUUCCUUUCAAGUGUUUUCUUUUCUUUUUUUAAUGCAUGUUCUUGAAUGUCAUUUGGCUCAAAUUUAAAUUUGAACACAUUCACAUUCUUAUUUCUGGAAUGCUACUACUACUAAUUUUUAAUCAACAUCAUCAUCAUCAUCAUCAUCCCAGGUUGUUAUGUCAUUUCAAUAAAUAAUUUGUACAUCUUUAAAAGAAUCAGAUUAAAUGGUACAAUACACACCAAGUGAUGAGAUUAAAGGCUGAUGCAGUAAACACUUCUUGCUGACUUCCUAAAUGCCUCAUUUUAGUCAUGAACCUACUGUAAUAGUCAAAUAAAUCACUGAGAAUAUAAGAAAAAAAAAAUUAGAUCAAAACCCGAGCUGAUUUUCUAACUGUAACAUAGAUUGGCUGCUUGCUAGAUUGGCAAAUAUAUGCGUCUGAUAGAAUGACACACGAUGUUCAUAAAUCAUGGCAUUUUAAAAGGUGAUCAUUUCAGUAGAUUAUACUGAGGAAUACAUAGUUCACCACAGAAAAAAAAUAAUUUGAAUAAUGAUCAUUUACACAUAAUUUAUUUCAUGCAUGUUUAAAAUCUAUACUUUACUUCUUGAAGUGAUCUGUGAAAUUGUAAUUUAAUUUUUGGCACCCAAUAAAUAAAGAUAACAUUUCUUUAAAAA